AGUGAACGCUGGCGGUAGGCCUAACACAUGCAAGUCCAACGGCAGCGCAGUAAGAGCUUGCUCUUACGGGUGGCGAGUGGCGGACGGGUGAGGAAUACAUCGGAAUCUACUUUUUCGUGGGGGAUAACGUAGGGAAACUUACGCUAAUACCGCAUACGACCUACGGGUGAAAGCAGGGGAUCUUCGGACCUUGCGCGAUUGAAUGAGCCGAUGUCGGAUUAGCUAGUUGGCGGGGUAAAGGCCCACCAAGGCGACGAUCCGUAGCUGGUCUGAGAGGAUGAUCAGCCACACUGGAACUGAGACACGGUCCAGACUCCUACGGGAGGCAGCAGUGGGGAAUAUUGGACAAUGGGCGCAAGCCUGAUCCAGCCAUACCGCGUGGGUGAAGAAGGCCUUCGGGUUGUAAAGCCCUUUUGUUGGGAAAGAAAAGCAGCAGGUUAAUACCCCGCUGUUCUGACGGUACCCAAAGAAUAAGCACCGGCUAACUUCGUG
rnacentral:rRNA from 1 species